CAGGUUGGACGACCUUCCUGCGCGUCGUUGAUCAGGGGACGACCCCA
rnacentral:ncRNA from 1 species